CUUUAAGUACAGGUGAACACCUGAUUAGGGCUCUUUGUUGGCCUGUGGCUGGUGCCUAUGAGCGCAGGUGAGCACUUUAAUAAGAUCAUCGUGGUUUAUCCGUGGCUGCAGUGGUGCGCCUGUGUACGAUCGCUACAGAGCCGGACCCCUUCACAGAGCCGGCGUCAUAAUAAAAGCUAUCCGGCCUGACAUUAGCUCGAGUCACGGCGGGGGGUGUUCAGCGCGCCAGCGGCUGGGAGAGCGGCGCCUCGCUGGUAAGCGACGACUGCGGGGGCAGCGACCGGGACGCACAGCUGCGCUACAGUCCAGAUUACCACUUUGGGUCUGGAUACGAGUGACCCAUGGGUUUGUGCCCUUCCCCGACGCUGCUGUUUCUGGCUUCUUCGGUGUCUCUUUCUUUUUAUUGUGUCCCGGUUUCCGCCAAGGUUUCGGUCCUUCGGAUCGUCCAAGACCUAAGGGGCGGAAACCACUGUUGGUGUAAGUGUGUGUGUGUGCGCGUGUAUGUCUGCGCAUUAUAACUGUUGAUUCAUCUCUUAUUGUUAAUUUAGGUUGGUUGGUUUUGUUUUAGUUUCUAUUUUGUUAUUUUGUUUAUUUUGUUUGCCGUGAUUCUGCAUGGUGUGAUUUUGAUUUGUAUUACUUUUGGUGUUUAUAUCACGUAACUUACCUCGUGUGGUGUAUUUUAAUUGAGAAUUAUAUUUUAAAGAAUAAAUAUUGUUGAGUGUGAACGUCCUCCUUUGCCUCCCCUGGCGUCCUUUCCGUGCGGGCUCUUGCCGCCCUGUCACACACUCUCACUCACGGGAGCACUUCUAUGCAGCACUAAAGUAAUGUGAACUUUCUUCUAGGAGAGAUUGACAGCUUUCUGCUGGAGAUAGGGGUUAAUGCCAGCCCACUCUACUGACCCCUCACCCAGAACCUGAAGCAGGCCCACAAAAACAAGACCCUGAGGAAGACUCCUUCCAUCAUGGUAAUCUGCAGAGUGGAUGGACAGUCAGAGAUGUGAUUUGCUGUAAUGUCUUAAUCAACCAUCACCACCAAUAAAAGAAACUGAAUAAAUGCAAAUUA